rnacentral:rRNA from 1 species
AUUGAACGCUGGCGGAAUGCUUUACACAUGCAAGUCGAGCGGCAGCGCGGGGGCAACCCUGGCGGCGAGCGGCGAACGGGUGAGUAAUACAUCGGAACGUGUCCUUGAGUGGGGGAUAGCUCGGCGAAAGCCGGAUUAAUACCGCAUAAGCUCUGCGGAGGAAAGCGGGGGACUGGUAACGGCCUCGCGCUGUUGGAGCGGCCGAUGUCGGAUUAGCUAGUUGGUGGGGUAAAGGCCCACCAAGGCGAUGAUCCGUAGCUGGUCUGAGAGGAUGAUCAGCCACACUGGAACUGAGACACGGUCCAGACUCCUACGGGAGGCAGCAGUGGGGAAUUUUGGACAAUGGGGGCAACCCUGAUCCAGCCAUUCCGCGUGAGUGAAGAAGGCC